rnacentral:misc_RNA from 1 species
UGGGGUUUCUCAGACAAGACGAGAGGUCAACGAUCAAGAUGCCUUGUCGUAAAUAAGCUGACCUCUCACUGCCCCCCAUGAAACCCAGCAUGCCUUUCCGAAGGAACUAAGAACGGGAAAGACCGCGGCGUCACCACGGCUCAAUGCUCGGGCUCAUUACUUCAGACCAAGGAGUUCUACUCAUGCCACGCUACGAUAUUCUCAUCCUGGGUGCGUCUUAAGGAUCGUUGCUUGCGUCCAAGAUGAUGUUCGGCGGCACAAUGUGAAACUCGUGUGUCUGCCCGCGGAAGCCGAUUUGAUCAACGCCGAUGGCUUUCGCGUCAGAAUGCAGAUUCG